UGGGGGAAGGAGGAGAGAAAAGGCCCUGGAGCUGCCCCAGCACAGCAGCCUGAAGAGGUGGAGCAGUUCCAGCCACCACAGAGGGGUGCAGCCGUGCAGCGCACACGAGAGCAGGAACGCACCCGUGGCCGCUUCCGCAGAACAGCGCAGAUGGUUUGCAAAUUCAUGAAGUGGAUUCGGGAGGAAGAGAGCAGCGUCACGGGCACUGUGGUCAGAGCGUCCUCUCCCAUCUUCAAAACCAAGACCAGGGCUGCCCUGCUGGAUAUGCUUGUGCAGGAGGGUCCUUCCAGCCCAAAGCAAGUGAGCAGCCUGUGGCCAGGGUUUGAUCCUCCCAGCAAUUACUUGGCCUCCGAAGCCACGCCUGCUGUACAUCCUCGUGGCCAAUGAGUUUCCUGAGUACAAUCUGUACAGGCCCCUCCUGGAUCUGACAGAGGCACAGCCCUGUGACGUGGUGAUGGCUCUCCUGCGUGUGGCCCCAGUGUGUGACAGAGCUGCUUUGGCCAUGUGGAAGAGCAUCAUGUGCUCACCCAGGACUGCAGAGCCGACCAUGCUCGUACUCCUCGAUGUGCUGGGGAGCUGGCCAGAGCACAGCACGUGCACCUCCGAUGGGGACCACACGGCUGUCCUUGCCCUGGCUAUGGUGACCGUGUAUUUCCCCCGCCUGUUUGUCCAUCUGCUCUUCCAAGUGUUCUUCAGCACUCUGGAUAUGCCAGAGGAGGUCGAUACCUUCUGGAAGGGAUUCCAGCAGCAACACGGCCUUGCCUCCAACCCCAGCAGGUUUGCAGUGCGGACCCUGAAGUCCCUGCUCUGCCAAAUGCAGCACGAGGAUGUGGUGGUGGCAAUGGAAUGCAAGUGUGGCUGGGACACGCUGCUGUGUGCUGACACCCACCACUAUGCCGUGGGUCUGCUGGCCAGGGAGAUGUCCUGUGUCUCCAUCCCCUUGUGCUCUCGGAUCGCUCGCUACCUGCUCCGGCUGCUCAGCACACAGGAGCCACGCUGGGAGCUGCCCUCCCUGGCGUGCCUUGUGGAGGUGAGCCUGAAGGCCAGCGCUGCCUCGCUCAGCUGCCUCCCGGCUCUCUGCCCUCUCUUGGCUGCAGUGCCUGGGACGGUGCCCGCGCCCUGUGCUGCUGCCUGGGCCCGGCCCUGUGCGGUUCUGGGCUCCUGCUGGCCGGUCCCCCGUCACUGCCCUGUGCCUUUCAGGUCCUCGAGUGCCUGGAAUUGAGUGAACGCGGUGCUGACAGAGUCCUGCAAAUCUUGUCAAGGCACCUGAGGAGCGAGUGCAAGGAGAGGCGUCACCUGGCGCUCAGGGCCCUUCUCGAGCUCAUCAAGGAUCCCUCGAUGAGAGAAAAAAUGUGGAGCCUGACUGAAAGUCUUGUGGAGCUCCUGUGGGAUGUGGAUGGAGAGAUAGUUAGCAUGACAGUCCUGCUCCUCAGCUGUAUCUUCUUGGACAAGGACAUGCUGAUAGCCAGCCCCAUCACACUGCAGCUGGUUGAGGCGCUCCUGCCACUCCUUGACCACG